GAAUUUCGGAGUACACUCCCAAACCCCAAUGUGAACGUUACCAAUCUGUUGCCUCGGCGGGAUUCUCUUGCCCCGGGCGCGUCGCAGCCCCGGAUCCCAUGGCGCCCGCCGGAGGACCAACUCCAAACUCUUUUUUUCUCUCCGUCGCGGCUCCCGUCGCGGCUCUGUUUUAUUUUUGCUCUGAGCCUUUCUCGGCGACCCUAGCGGGCGUCUCGAAAAUGAAUCAAAACUUUCAACAACGGAUCUCUUGGUUCUGGCAUCGAUGAAGAACGCAGCGAAAUGCGAUAAGUAAUGUGAAUUGCAGAAUUCAGUGAAUCAUCGAAUCUUUGAACGCACAUUGCGCCCGCCAGUAUUCUGGCGGGCAUGCCUGUCCGAGCGUCAUUUCAACCCUCGAACCCCUCCGGGGGGUCGGCGUUGGGGAUCGGCCCCUCACCGGGCCGCCCCCGAAAUACAGUGGCGGUCUCGCCGCAGCCUCUCCUGCGCAGUAGUUUGCACACUCGCACCGGGAGCGCGGCGCGGCCACAGCCGUAAAACACCCCAAACUUCUGAAAUGUUGACCUCGGAUCAGGUAGGAAUACCCGCUGAACUUAAGCAUAUCAAUAAGCGGAGGAA
rnacentral:rRNA from 1 species